GAGAAGGUGCUCACCGGCACUCCUCGCCCUCCAGCAGCUUGCGGUAGGUGGCGAUCUCCACGUCCAGGGCCAGCUUG